rnacentral:rRNA from 1 species
AUGGAGGAAGGUGGAGGUAUGGUCCGGCCGGACGGCCAUUCUUCUCCGAUGGAAGCAGCUUCCCAUGCAGUGGCAGCAGCCGCUGCUUCUCUGGACCUGUCUCUAACACUGCCCCCCGUGCGACCACCACCACCACCUUCCUCCCCUUCUUGGGCUGCAGCACAUGUUGUUCUUCCUUCUUCUACAGGCGCUGGGGGCGACGACCAUGGCCAUGGUCGUGGGAGGCUCUUCUCGUGCCUCUUCUGCGAGAAGACCUUCCUCAAGUCCCAGGCGCUGGGCGGCCACCAGAAUGCGCACAAGAAGGAGAGGGCCGCCGGCAGCUGGAACGCCCACCUCUACCUUCCCGCUGCGGGGGCAGCCACCCACCACAACCAGCGGGCCGCCGCAACGCCCAUCCUGCCGGCGACCUGGCCGCCCGCGCGUACGCCUACUAGUACGCUUGACGACCACCACCACCAGCAGCAGCUUGAUCUUAGCCUCAAGCUCUAG